AUGAUUAUCAUAUCCUUUACAAGAACUGGAACCGGGAAAAAAUCGUGAAGCGUUAAAUAGAAUUCACAAAUAAUAGUAACCAACGGUUGUUUCUAAAAUUCAAUUCCAUUGCACUAUAUUUCUUAAAGGGAAAGACAUUUAAUCAAAUACAGAUAAAAUGUCAGAUAAUACUAUGCCAUCAUCUCGCAAGCUAUAUGGAUUUGAAUCAGACAGCUAAAAACUUAUCAAGAAGCCUUUCAUCACCUCCUUGGCCUUGAGCGACCAGAUGUAGCACACUGCCAAGAGAAAGGGAUUAAUAAGAUGUGAUAUUUUGGUCAUGCU
rnacentral:lncRNA from 1 species